AUUGAACGCUGGCGGCAUGCCUUACACAUGCAAGUCGAACGGCAGCACGGGGGCAACCCUGGUGGCGAGUGGCGAACGGGUGAGUAACAUAUCGGAACAUACCCUAGAGUGGGGAUAACGUAGCGAAAGUUACGCUAAUACCGCAUACGAUCUAAGGAUGAAAGUGGGGGAUCUUCGGACCUCAUGCUCAUGGAGUGGCCGAUAUCUGAUUAGCUAGUUGGUGAGGUAAAGGCUUACCAAGGCGACGAUCAGUAGCUGGUUUGAGAGAACGACCAGCCACACUGGAACUGAGACACGGUCCAGACUCCUACGGAGGCAGCAGUGGGGAAUAUUGGACAAUGGGCGAAAGCCUGAUCCAGCAAUGCCGCGUGAGUGAUGAAGGCCUUAGGGUCGUAAAGCUCUUUACCCGGGAUGAUAAUGACAGUACCGGAGAAUAAGCCCGGCUAACUCCGUGCCAGCAGCCGCGGU
rnacentral:rRNA from 1 species